UACGGAGGGGCAAGCGUUGUCCGGAUUUAUUGGGCGUAAAGAGCUCGUAGGCGGCUCAGUAAGUCAGGUGUGAAACCUCCAGGCUCAACCUGGAGACGCCACCUGAUACUGCUGUGGCUAGAGUCCGGAAGAGGAGAGUGGAAUUCCGUGGUGUAGCGGUGAAAUGCGCAGAUAUCAGGAAGAACACCCGUGGCGAAGGCGGCUCUCUGGGACGGUACUGACGCUGAGACGCGAAAGCGUGGGGAGCGAACAGG
rnacentral:rRNA from 1 species